rnacentral:rRNA from 1 species
GACUAAUGUUGAAAAAUUAGCGGAUGACCUGUGGCUGGGGGUGAAAGGCCAAUCAAACCGGGAGAUAGCUGGUUCUCCCCGAAAGCUAUUUAGGUAGCGCCUCGUGAAUUCAUCUCCGGGGGUAGAGCACUGUUUCGGCUAGGGGGCCAUCCCGGCUUACCAACCCGAUGCAAACUGCGAAUACCGGAGAAUGUUAUCACGGGAGACACACGGCGGGUGCUAACGUCCGUCGUGAAGAGGGAAACAACCCAGACCGCCAGCUAAGGUCCCAAAGUCAUGGUUAAGUGGGAAACGAUGUGGGAAGGCCCAGACAGCCAGGAUGUUGGCUUAGAAGCAGCCAUCAUUUAAAGAAAGCGUAAUAGCUCACUGGUCGAGUCGGCCUGCGCGGAAGAUGUAACGGGGCUAAACCAUGCACCGAAGCUGCGGCAGCGACACUGUGUGUUGUUGGGUAGGGGAGCGUUCUGUAAGCCUGCGAAGGUGUCCCGUGAGGGAUGCUGGAGGUAUCAGAAGUGCGAAUGCUGACAUAAGUAACGAUAAAGCGGGUGAAAAGCCCGCUCGCCGGAAGACCAAGGGUUCCUGUCCAACGUUAAUCGGGGCAGGGUGAGUCGACCCCUAAGGCGAGGCCGAAAGGCGUAGUCGAUGGGAAACGGGUUAAUAUUCCCGUACUUGGUGUUACUGCGAAGGGGGGACGGAGAAGGCUAUGUUGGCCGGGCGACGGUUGUCCCGGUUUAAGCGUGUAGGUGUGUGUUCCAGGUAAAUCCGGUUCACUUUAACACUGAGGCGUGACGACGAGGCACUACGGUGCUGAAGCAACAAAUGCCCUGCUUCCAGGAAAAGCCUCUAAGCAUCAGGUAACAUCAAAUCGUACCCCAAACCGACACAGGUGGUCAGGUAGAGAAUACCAAGGCGCUUGAGAGAACUCGGGUGAAGGAACUAGGCAAAAUGGUGCCGUAACUUCGGGAGAAGGCACGCUGACACGUAGGUGAAGUGAUUUACUCAUGGAGCUGAAGUCAGUCGAAGAUACCAGCUGGCUGCAACUGUUUAUUAAAAACACAGCACUGUGCAAACACGAAAGUGGACGUAUACGGUGUGACGCCUGCCCGGUGCCGGAAGGUUAAUUGAUGGGGUCAGCGCAAGCGAAGCUCCUGAUCGAAGCCCCGGUAAACGGCGGCCGUAACUAUAACGGUCCUAAGGUAGCGAAAUUCCUUGUCGGGUAAGUUCCGACCUGCACGAAUGGCGUAAUGAUGGCCAGGCUGUCUCCACCCGAGACUCAGUGAAAUUGAACUCGCUGUGAAGAUGCAGUGUACCCGCGGCAAGACGGAAAGACCCCGUGAACCUUUACUAUAGCUUGACACUGAACAUUGAGCCUUGAUGUGUAGGAUAGGUGGGAGGCUUUGAAGUGUGGACGCCAGUCUGCAUGGAGCCGACCUUGAAAUACCACCCUUUAAUGUUU